rnacentral:rRNA from 1 species
AUCGACAGGCUUAACACAUGCAAGUCGAGGGGCAGCACAGGUAGCAAUACCGGGUGGCGACCGGCGCACGGGUGAGUAACGCGUAUGCAACUUGCCCAUCAGAGGGGGAUAACCCGGCGAAAGUCGGACUAAUACCGCAUGAAGCAGGGAUCCCGCAUGGGAAUAUUUGCUAAAGAUUCAUCGCUGAUAGAUAGGCAUGCGUUCCAUUAGGCAGUUGGCGGGGUAACGGCCCACCAAACCGACGAUGGAUAGGGGUUCUGAGAGGAAGGUCCCCCACAUUGGUACUGAGACACGGACCAAACUCCUACGGGAGGCAGCAGUGAGGAAUAUUGGUCAAUGGCCGAGAGGCUGAACCAGCCAAGUCGCGUGAGGGAUGAAGGUUCUAUGGAUCGUAAACCUCUUUUAUAAGGGAAUAAAGUGCGGGACGUGUCCCGUUUUGUAUGUACCUUAUGAAUAAGGAUCGGCUAACUCCGUGCCAGCAGCCGCGGUAAUACGGAGGAUCCGAGCGUUAUCCGGAUUUAUUGGGUUUAAAGGGUGCGUAGGCGGCCUUUUAAGUCAGCGGUGAAAGUCUGUGGCUCAACCAUAGAAUUGCCGUUGAAACUGGGGGGCUUGAGUAUGUUUGAGGCAGGCGGAAUGCGUGGUGUAGCGGUGAAAUGCAUAGAUAUCACGCAGAACCCCGAUUGCGAAGGCAGCCUGCCAAGCCAUUACUGACGCUGAUGCACGAAAGCGUGGGGAUCAAACAGGAUUAGAUACCCUGGUAGUCCACGCAGUAAACGAUGAUCACUAGCUGUUUGCGAUACACUGUAAGCGGCACAGCGAAAGCGUUAAGUGAUCCACCUGGGGAGUACGCCGGCAACGGUGAAACUCAAAGGAAUUGACGGGGGCCCGCACAAGCGGAGGAACAUGUGGUUUAAUUCGAUGAUACGCGAGGAACCUUACCCGGGUUUGAACGCAUUCGGACCGAGGUGGAAACACCUUUUCUAGCAAUAGCCGUUUGCGAGGUGCUGCAUGGUUGUCGUCAGCUCGUGCCGUGAGGUGUCGGCUUAAGUGCCAUAACGAGCGCAACCCUUGCCACUAGUUACUAACAGGUAAAGCUGAGGACUCUGGUGGGACUGCCAGCGUAAGCUGCGAGGAAGGCGGGGAUGACGUCAAAUCAGCACGGCCCUUACAUCCGGGGCGACACACGUGUUACAAUGGCGUGGACAAAGGGAGGCCACCUGGCGACAGGGAGCGAAUCCCCAAACCACGUCUCAGUUCGGAUCGGAGUCUGCAACCCGACUCCGUGAAGCUGGAUUCGCUAGUAAUCGCGCAUCAGCCAUGGCGCGGUGAAUACGUUCCCGGGCCUUGUACACACCGCCCGUCAAGCCAUGGGAGCCGGGGGUACCUGAAGUCCGUAACCGCGAGGAUCGGCCUAGGGUAAAACUGGUGACUG